UACGUAGGGUCCGAGCGUUGUCCGGAAUUACUGGGCGUAAAGAGCUCGUAGGUGGUUUGUCGCGUUGUUCGUGAAAACUCACAGCUUAACUGUGGGCGUGCGGGCGAUACGGGCAGACUAGAGUACUGCAGGGGAGACUGGAAUUCCUGGUGUAGCGGUGGAAUGCGCAGAUAUCAGGAGGAACACCGGUGGCGAAGGCGGGUCUCUGGGCAGUAACUGACGCUGAGGAGCGAAAGUGUGGGGAGCGAACAGG
rnacentral:rRNA from 1 species